CAUGGGCAGAAAGGUGAAAAUUGUGGCCAGAGGCAGAUUGUGGUAAAUUACAAAAUUGGCUCAUAAUCCUUUAUUCCUUCUUGCCUCCAUGCUCUUUGCAAUGUGACUUUGCCACUUUUCUCAUUAAGAGAUGGAUUCUGUUCUCCAUUGCCUUCUGUCUGGACUGGUCUUGUAACUUGUUCUGGUUAAUACAGAGGUAAAUGUGAUGACACAUCAGAAGCCCAGGCCUCAAGCAAGCUUUCCCACUUGUUCUCUUGGAACCCUUCCCAGCUAUCAGGUAAAUAAGCCCAGGCUAUUGUGCUGGAUGAUGAGAGGUCACUGGAACACUGAUGAGCCAUAACAGCUGAGGCCAUUCUAGAAUAGGCAGCUUUAGCCAACCAGGCAGCUGACUGCAGAUACAGGCCUGCAUCCAGAUGAGUCCAGAAAAGCAACCUAGACACUACUGGCAAAGACAUUGAAAAGAAUCACACUGCUAAACCAGUAGCAGCUUUUAUCUUCUUCUCAGAUUGUAUACAUGCAGGAUAAAAGUGUUUCUAACACAUAGACUUCUAUAUUCCAGCAUAAAGAUGUAUUAGGCGCAUUUAUACUUUUACAUCGAAGCCUGUUUCAACAUGAACGGAGCCCAGGCAAGUGUCCUUGUCAUCAAUCGAGAGUGAAAGUUAGCUAUACUUAAAAAAAAAAUAGGUUUUAAAAAAUAUCAAAAUAAUUAGAAAAGAGUUUCAACUAAUAACAUACUUACUAUUUGUAUUCCAUUUUGACAGUACCAUGUUAGAUCAAUGACUUCAUUUAUCACAAUAUAUUCCAUGUUACAGUUACCUCUCAGGAAAAUGACAUUGAUAGAGUCAACUUUCUUGAGAAUUAAGCUUCUGUAACUUUUAUUUAAAGGUGUCUCAAGCUUGUGCUUCUUAGUAUUUUAUGAUAUGUCUUUAGUUUUUGUAAUUUCACUUUGUCAAAACAUUACAUUUGUCAUUAUUCAUACUGAAAGACAAGGUAUUUUGAAGAUAAAAAUCUACCAAGGAUCAUCUACCAUUUGCUUUUGAUAUAAAAGAUUUAUAAGACCAUUUAGACCACAAAAACAAACCUUCCUAAGGACAUAUCUAUACAUCAACAAAUAUUAAAAAUUACAUUUCUAGGAAAUUAAAAACAAUUUAGAAAGGUGCUUAGUUGAACAGAAAUUAGCUACAACCAAAAUAAUGAUUAAUAUUAUAACCAUAAUCAUAGAAAAUAACAGUUGAUUGCCACUUUCAAGAAUAAAAGCAAAUUCUGUGAAUACAGAACUAAAAUACUAAAAAUAAACAAACAAGCUUGGGAGAGAUUAGUCAUGCAAAAUCCAACCCUAGAUAUUUGAUGGCAAUUAUCUUAAUUUUUUACCUUAUAAUUGAGAUGGUAUUUCACUGGCAAAGCUUAAACCAAGUAAUAUUCACAAAAAUGGAAGAAAUUCAUAAUUAAAGAAAGUCAUUAAGCAAAACAGAAAAAAUAUUUCAGUAUCAAAUUUUAAAGUUAAUAUUUUUUUUAAAUGAUGGAUAAAGACAAAGCAAAUUGAUGGUAUGAAUUAACUAAUAGUAAUGAACAUUCUUCUCUUAAAUCUCCAUCAGAUACAUUCUUAUUUUGAAGAAAUACCAAGGCAAUUUAAGAUAGGGGUAUUAUCAAAUAUUCCAUAUGUGAUUUUCAGGAAGCAAAGCUAUUCAUUGCAGUACACUAUGUCAAUAUUCUAACCAUCAGAGAAGAUAUAAAAUUUAUAAAAGUCUUCUGUAGCACCCAAAUCACAACAAAUGGAAUUGCUAAACAUAUCAGGUUUACAACAUGUCAUAACCUCAGUGUUCAUUCCUGCUUUCUCUCUUGGCAUAGGAAGCUAGCUGGCUCAUAACCCAUGCUUUUCACAACCACAGGUUCUUUAUCCCUAUAUAACCAAAUCCUCAAGAGAACAGCAGACAGAGGGAGAAGACAAUUUAUUUAGAGAACUAUUAUGUGAGGAAGAAAACAAGCUGCCAUUUCCAAUUUGAAACAUAAUUAGGAAGACAAUAGCCUCCUGACUGAUGCUCUUUGUUCCCUUUAGAUAUUUAUGUAGGCCAGUAAUUGGAGUGUAUUUCCCUGUUCAAUUUCACAUUGUCUAUAAAAGGGUUUCUCAUGAUCGAUGACUUUCUAGUUAAAUUCAGAAGAAAACAUCUUGCAGCUACUGCCCUAUUGCCAUGGCCACACAUCACUGCCUUCUAGACAUGGUCAGUUGCUGAAACUUAUUUUCAAUUCUGCCAAACAGUUGAGUUAAUAGGAUUUUAAGAAGGAAAAAGUUGUUCCAUGGGACUUGGGUGAUUGAAGGCUUUCUAUCCAUUAUUGAAAAACACUGGGAAAGUUAACCACCCUUUUUUGCUGAAAAAUUAACAUAUAUACUUGAUGUAAAUAAAUGUCUAUAGACAUAUUAAAGCAUUCAGUCAAUAACAACAUCAAAUGAAAGUUAGGAUUGAGGCCCAUUACAUUUCCGAAAAGAUGCUUUUAGGAGUGGAGGGAGACAGCUUCCUCCUUUCCUUUUAUAAGCAGAGAAAAGUCAUUUUUUUUCUCAUUUAUUGCAUAUGCACUUUCUGGCUACUCAGGUGGGAAAAAAAUCCCAUUGAUUCUCAUUACAUUGCCCUGAGGACAAGCAGUGGGGCAAGGAGGCUUAUACACUUGUUAUUUACUAUUAAGUAAUUACUAAGCCAUCCAUCUCUGAUCCCAAACACCCCAUAUGCAUAUUCGGAAUAAAAUUAACAAAGAUGAAUAUUAAAAAUCCAACAUAUUUAUUGAGCAACUACUGUGUCUGACAUAUUGAUUAACUUCACAACAAACUUAUAGUCAUUAUAUCCCCACCCUUCAUAAGCUGAAAUUAGAAUUCAAAACUUAAAUAACACCAUAUUAAAAACUCAGACUGACCCUUUCAUUUGUCUCCUUUUUUAUUUUGCUAUGAUAUACUUCUCCCAGGGAAGUUGGUGACUUAAUCCUCGUUAUACCCUGAUUUUGGACAAAUUUUACAAGAAGAAUAGGACUUCUACUUCUCUAUGUCUACAUGCACCUGGAACAGUGCUAGGUCUAUGCUUACAAAUUGAUUGGUUCAGGUCACCGCCAUGAGCCUCAGGACAGAAAAUUGCCGGAUAUGAGAGAGAGAGAGAGAUUUGACUGGGCUAAGAAAGAAAUGAACACGAUUUAGAGAUGGAAAUGGUGACAUAUGGGCCUUUGAAGCCUCCCAUGUUCCAGAGAAGCCUUUUCUAGCUGAUCUCCCACCAUGACAUCCUUCCCCCACAGCUGGUUUGUC
rnacentral:lncRNA from 1 species